GUAGGUGGCAAGCGUUGUCCGGAAUUAUUGGGCGUAAAGCGCGCGCAGGCGGUCCUUUAAGUCUGAUGUGAAAGCCCACGGCUCAACCGUGGAGGGUCAUUGGAAACUGGGGGUCUUGAGUACAGAAGAGGAAAGCGGAAUUCCAAGUGUAGCGGUGAAAUGCGUAGAGAUUUGGAGGAACACCAGUGGCGAAGGCGGCUUUCUGGUCUGUAACUGACGCUGAGGCGCGAAAGCGUGGGGAGCAAACAGGGAUUAGAUACCCUGGUAGUCCACGCCGUAAACGAUGAGUGCUAAGUGUUAGGGGGUUUCCCGCCCCCUUAGUGCUGCAGCUAACGCAUUAAGCACUCCGCCUGGGGAGUACGGCCCGCAAGGCUG
rnacentral:rRNA from 1 species